GCAUAUCAAUAAGCGGAGGAAAAGAAACUAACAAGGAUUCCCCUAGUAACGGCGAGUGAAGAGGGAAGAGCUCAAAUUUUAAAUCUGCCUUGUUUUCAAGGUCGAGUUGUAAUUUGAAGAAGCGUUUUCUUGGGCUCGCGGCCGGUAGAAGUUCUUUGGAACAGGACAUCAUAGAGGGUGACAAUCCCGUCUGCGACCGGUCGUGCGUUCAUCUACGAUACGCUUUCAAAGAGUCGAGUUGUUUGGGAUUGCAGCUCCAAAUGGGUGGUAAACAUCACCUAAGGCUAAAUAUUGGCGAGAGACCGAUAGCGAACAAGUACCGUGAGGGAAAGAUGAAAAGAACUUUGAAAAGAGAGUUAAACAGUACGUGAAAUUGUUGAAAGGGAAACGAUUGAAGUCAGUCGUGCUGGCGCGAAAUCAACCCUCUCGUCGAGAGGUCACAUGGCGUGGCGAGCCUCAAAACCGUCACGAAGCGUGAACUCUUGGCGAAAAGGAGCACUUUCGUGUCCGCUGGUUAACAUCAAUUUCGAACGUCAUAAAAAGGCUGGAGGGAUGUGGCUCCUUCGGGAGUGUUAUAACCUUUAGCGGAAUGUGGUGGUCGGGAUUGAGGAUUGCAACGAAUACCUUUAGGGCUGUUCCACCUGGCUUCUCUUUGGUAUCCUGGUGACGACAGCUUGCUGACGUCGUUAGGAUUCGCCUUUGAACAGGCUAGAGUGUGAGCAAAUUCGUUAAGGAUGUUGACGUAAUGGCUUUAAACGAC
rnacentral:rRNA from 1 species